rnacentral:rRNA from 1 species
AGCAGCCGCGGUAAUUCCAGCUCCAAUAGCGUAUAUUAAAGUUGUUGCAGUUAAAAAGCUCGUAGUUGAAUUUCGGGAUCAAGGGAUCGGUCAUGCCUUGGUAUGUACUGGUCUUAUUGGUUCUCACCUUCUAAAGAACCAUGAUGUCAUUCAUUUGAUGUUAUGGGGAAUUAGGACUGUUACCUUGAAAAAUUAGAGUGUUUAAAGCAAGCUUACGCUUGAAUACAUUAGCAUGGAAUAAUGAAAUAGGACAUCAGAUUCUAUUUUGUUGGUUUCUAGGAUCGAUGUAAUGAUUAAUAGGGAUAGUUGGGGGCAUUAGUAUUCAAUUGUCAGAGGUGAAAUUCUUGGAUUUAUUGAAGACUAACUACUGCGAAAGCAUUUGCCAAGGAUGUUUUCAUUAAUCAAGAACGAAAGUUAGGGGAUCGAAGACGAUCAGAUACCGUCGUAGUCUUAACCAUAAACUAUGCCGACUAGGGAUCGGAUGAUGUUAAUUUUUAAUGA